GAAGAACCUUACCUGGCCUUGACAUGCUGGGAACUUUGCAGAGAUGGCUUGGUGCCUUCGGGAACGCUGAGACAGGUGCUGCAUGGCUGUCGUCAGCUCGUGUCGUGAGAUGUUGGGUUAAGUCCCGUAACGAGCGCAACCCUUGUCCCUAGUUGCCAGCGAUUCGGGCGGGAACUCUAGGGAGACUGCCGGUGACAAACCGGAGGAAGGUGGGGAUGACGUCAGGUCAUCAUGGCCCUUAUGGUCAGGGCUACACACGUGCUACAAUGGAGCGCACAAAGGGUUGCCAACCCGCGAGGGGGAGCUAAUCCCAAAAAACCCGUCAUAGUCCGGAUUGCAGUCUGCAACUCGACUGCGUGAAGUCGGAAUCGCUAGUAAUCGAGAAUCAGAAUGG
rnacentral:rRNA from 1 species